rnacentral:rRNA from 1 species
CAGUAGCCACGGGAAUACAGAGGGUGCGAGCGUUAAUUGGAUUUACUGGGCGUAAAGCGUGCGUAGGCGGCUUCUUAAGUCGGAUGUGAAAUCCCUGAGCUUAACUUAGGAAUUGCAUUCGAUACUGGGAAGCUAGAGUAUGGGAGAGGAUGGUAGAAUUCCAGGUGUAGCGGUGAAAUGCGUAGAGAUCUGGAGGAAUACCGAUGGCGAAGGCAGCCAUCUGGCCUAAUACUGACGCUGAGGUACGAAAGCAUGGGGAGCAAACAGGAUUAGAUACCCCAGUAGUCCCUGUCUCUUAUAC